CGGGAGCUUUGGGGACGGACCUGUGGAUGCCGAGGCGUUUUCCGUUCACCUGUGGGACUGGCGAUACUCGAGCAGGUGAGCAGGAGGGGCGCUGUAGAAGUCAUCAAGUUCUCUCCUUCGGAAGGCAAGAUUCUCUUCUAACCCUCUAAUACCUGGUCUUGACAGUUCAAAGGUAAUUCUGUCCCCUCCCCACACUGGACUGGGAACAGCUUGAAGGUGGUGUCCUACCCAUCUCUUGCGACUGCCAUCAGAGCCAAGAGUAACGCUGGCUCAUGCCAAGUGCUCCAUGUUUGCAGAUGUGAAGGAUUAAAUAUCUUGGGCCAAGAUGAAAAAGAUGUCUUGAGGCCUUCCAGACCUUGCUCCACCUCUACCACCAGGUCUCCAGUCCUGAGCCACAUGUUGUCAUUUUUGUCUCAGAAGCACCCCUCUUCCAGUGAUGAGCCCACUAUGAAGAAAGGGCACGAAGCUGGUUCCUCUCUCCCUGUCCUGGGAAUGGUGCCUGCCCGUGAUGGUAUCCUCAGGUCCCCAUCUCUGCUCCAGCAAGAUGUCUCAGGGGACGUCUAUGCAUUCAGCCAGGUGACCACUAGAAGAAAAUGUUCUCCAGGACCACCUAAGAGAAUGUAAGUGCUUGUGUCUAAAAAUGAAACAUUCUGGAGAUCAGAGCCCUUCAUGACACCAGCUCUCCGCUGUGCCUGUGGGCACCUGAUGUUGGAUACUGGAUGAUAUUGCAGAGCGACGGAGCAUCUGUGUGGAGGUGCAGAAUCAGGAAUGGUCUGAUGAACAAGAUUCGCCACCGUUCUCGUUUGCAAGGGGGCAGCACCUGAUGGAGGAAACAGGGUUCCUUUUCAGUUCUUAUAGUCUUCACUGACAGGCCACAGAAGGAUAGGGUCCCUUUUGCCUUUUCCUUGGUGAUGCUUAAGUCUGGCUCACAUGCUUUUGUGUGUUCUUUUAGAAACUAUCAACCUACUGCACACAAAAUAUGUGUACUUGGAUGGUGUUUGAUAUGGUGUGGAUGCUCAGGUUAAAAAAAAAAUAGUCAUAACCAGUUCUGGAAAGGAAGGAAUGAAGAGAAAGGUUGUAACUUGCUGGGUGGGUCUAGAACACUCCACACCCAUCCCCCAGAAUGAAAUCAGCUUUCCAAGUCAUCUGUUUGGGCGGGAGUUUCCAGCCAGUUAGAACUCUCUGUCCUCCCUUCCAGUCUUUUAGGGAACACUGUAUUUUGAAAGCCAGAUGAGAAGGCAGAUGUUUUUCUCAUCUCCACCCACACCCACAUUGUUGUUUGCCGAGUAAACCGGGUUGGGACACAAAUCCUGCAGAAGGGCUGCCGCUGGGGGCGCUGGAGGCUUCCAGCCCGGGUCAGCGCGGCCAGGACCCUGGGUGACGCACCUGUUAUCAAUUAACUGUCCAGGCUGAACUUGGGAAUGAAGGCCAGAACGGGCAUGGGAGGCCGAUCCUCCAGCUAAACUUUGACUUCAAGGUCAAGGAAGGAUUUGAAAGGGUGGGAAGAAAAAUAUUGUACAUUGGUUGGGUGAACAAUGUUUAUUAAAUUUAGAGCCAUUUGUACUCACCA